AAAUAACAAUUUGGCUUCCAUAGUUCUUUCUUUGGAUGUGGAUAGCAUUUUACAUCAUGUCUCUCAUGCUUUUCUCCAGACAACUCAGAAUUGGUCACAAACAUUAUCUCAUUCAAGACAUUUUUAUGAGCUAAAUGUUACUGGAGAUCCCAAAUUUCACAAGUUUCUUUAAAUUUGUGAAUGCAAACAGUAUCAUUGUAGCUUUUUUGGUGAUGAUUUGAAACAAAGUGAGCAUAUAAACGUUCUGAGUUGUAUAAGAGUUGUUUCCUUUGUUUAAAGAGGUCAAAGUGAAGAUAUUGAGGACUUCUGGAUUGCUUUUGCUAAUAAGACAUGUGAAACUGAAAUGUCCAUAUGCAUGCCCCACAGAAUAAUUUUAGUCUUAUUUCGUGAAUUAGUUUUACCAAAUUUUAGGGCUACUAAGAUGGGUCCAUGGAAAAUUCCUGUGGGUAGGAAAAGUAACUUAAAUCUUUUCCUUUUGAUGAUGAUGAAGUGUUCUACCUGACCUCAGGUAAUACUGGUGAACAACAUAUUAAAUCUGGUCAGACUUUUAGGCUAUCUGCCCAUUGGGCCUAGGAAUGAAAACCCUCCCUAGGACUUUGAACAUUCACAUGUAAUAGGCAGCAUGGUUGUUUUAUUCAGUCAACUAGACUACAUUAAACGUAAUGUGAAGUCAGAUGACUUAGGCCUCACUUUUUUGGAUGCCAGAUUUCCUGCUGAUCCAACUUUCAUGCUUCCAAGUAGCUUGGCUAAAUUUAUUUUGAUCAUACACUAAUGUGUACCUGAAAAAUACAUAGCAGUCCAUUCCUUUAGUUCUGUCAGAAUUAUUUACCUUUUUAUCUAGUGGUAGAUAUGUUGUGAACCUGGAGAACUGAUGUGAGAUAUUAAGAAAACUGGGAUGGUUUAUGCUGUGGAUAGGAACAUAAUUGGAGAAUACAUUGAUCUUUAUGGAAAACUAAAUGCAAAUUUCUUACUCUUGAUAUUUGCAAAUUCACAUAGGUAAACAUUUUCAGAGUUAUAUAGGAGAACCAAGUAUAGCCUAAUUGGAAAAAAAAUCAUGUUUACUUGCUGCUUCUUUGAAACUGGAGAAAGCUAUUUUCAACCCAGAGUCAUGCUGGGUUUCAUACUUACGGUGGGGUAAGCUAUUCAGAAAUGAGCUCCGAGGAGAGGUGGCUGGUAGAGGUUGUGGCAGCUUAAACCGCAGGUAUAUUUGGGAAGCCACGAGGCGCUCUUCCAUGGCUGGGCGACCCUCGCGGAGGCAGAGGAUGGAUGCUGUGGCUGAGUGGAGAGCGGCGCGCCCAGAGAGGAAUCCCAUGAAGCGGAGCUGGAGGGACCAGGAGAGAUUCAAUACCUACAGGUUCAUCCCCCUGAAGUUUGGGUAUGUGGCCACACCGUAGUUUUGCCUGAGAAAAGAGUAUGGUGCCGGCCAUAUGGAACACAAUUAGGGAUAGCCUCCAGCAGAGCUCGGGUCUCCUGGCUUGGUACAAGAGAGAUGCUAUGGGACCAGUUAUUGCCCCUCAUCCAGUCAGUGGUAUGGCAGGGCAUUUUGCCGAAUGUGAUAAUAAUUCACUUAGGGGAAAAUGACUUAGUCCAGCAGACUAAGCUAGGCCUAAUAAUCACCAUGAAAAAUGAUUUGAUAACAUUAUGCAAAACCUUUCCUAAAGCAAAGAUUAUAUGGUCAACUUUACUCCCCAGGAGAAUAUGGCCAGGGGCCCAGAAACCUGGGGCAGUUGAUAAAGCCAGGAAAGCACUGAUUAAAGAACUUUCUAAGUUUUGUAGCCUGUCUGGAAUUUCGGUGUUGAGACAUGAUCAGAUUGUGUAUUCUUCCCCAGAGCUAUUUAGCCAAGAUGGAGUUCAUCUAUCUGCAAUUGGGGAAGGCAUUUUUAAUGCCAAUCUGCGGGAAGCAAUUGAAGCUUGCUUAUAACCCACUUCUGCUGCUUUGUUGAGUUCCUCUCCCUUCUUUAGGUGGAAUUAAUCUUUGCUUUGUAGCUUUAUCUCUAGUUCUUUCCCAUCCCUCCUGCUGGACAAGUCAUUUGCUUUUGGACAAGGCUUUAAUAAGACUGUAGUGGAGAUUCUAAUGCCUCUUUGGGAUUAGAGGGACUCAUUUUGUGCUGUAUUCCUUUGUGUGGGGUGGAUAUUGAGAAGGUAGGGCUUCCAUUAUUAAACCUGUAUCUUGGCUCCAGAUUUUGGGACCAUUUGCUUAGCUGCUUUAAUCUAAGAGGAGGAAUAAUAUUUAUGUACGUUUUCAAAGGAGACCAGGAAGAGACCAUUCCUAAAAGAUGUUUACAGGGUUUUGUGGGGUUUGUUGUUGUUGUUGUAGUUGUUAUUAUCACAGGCUCUUUCCUGCCUUCUGCAACUGUACCCAAGAGCUGUGCUCACUCUUUUCCCCAGCAUUUUCCCACCCCCUCACAUUCAGAAUAUAAAACAAAGUAUUUGUAUUUCUUUUGUAUGUAAUUGACUUUUCUAAAUGACUGAAUGUAAGGCUCUUAAUAAAUCACUUCCUGUAAAGAUGUAUUACUUAGCCUUUCUAUUCAUAAAGGGCUAUGGAUAUUCACUCUCUGUCAGUAGGAGUGUAAAUGACGUUGUGAUCUGCACCAAUGCCUUUGUGGUAGAGUCAUUUUAUUGAUAGUUCUUAGGCUUAAUUCAGUCCAGAUGUUAUGUAGAUAUAAUGUUAUUGUAGUAUUUUGUCUUUAAUAAAGUUGCAACUUGGAAUCUUGUAAA